rnacentral:rRNA from 1 species
AGUCACAUUGGGUCUGGAACAGAACCCAACUACCGAAGCGGUAGCAGCAGUAGGGAAUCUUGACAAUGUGCUAAAGCACGAUCUAGCAAUGCUUUAGCGGUGAAGACGGUUCAGGAAAUCGUAAAAUCGAUGAAAUAAAUGAGAGGCGUUGCUUUACAAUUUAUUUUAGAAGCUCCGACUAACCUCGUGCCAGCAGUCGCGGUAAUACGAGGGGAGCAAGUGUUAUUCGUACUGAUUGGGCGUAAAGGGUACGUAGGUUGUUAAUUAAGUUUAAAGUUAAAUUCUGGAGCUCAACUCCUGGAAAGCUUUUUAAUACUGAUUAACUUUGAGUUAAUUAGAGAAUAGUAGGACUCUUAGUGUAGAGAUAAAAUUCAAUAAUAUUAAGGAGACAAGGCAGCGUAGGCGACUAUUCAUAAUUAACUGACACUGAGGUACAAAAGUAUAGGGAGCAAAAAGGAUUAGAGACCCUUGUAGUCUAUACCGUGACCUAUGAGUAUUGAAUUUAAAAAUAAAUAUAUUUAUUUUAUUUUAUUAAUUCAAGCUAACGCGUAAAUACUCCGCCUGGGAACUAAGGCCGCAAGGUUAAAACUCAAAGGAAUUGACGGAGAUCAGACCAAGUAGUGGAGCAUGUGGUUUAAUCCGAUAAUCCGCGUAGAACCUUACCAAUUCUAGUUUAUAUCAAGAGAUAUAUAAUAUUAUAGAACUAAAUUUUGUUACAAUUUUAAUUAUUGUUUCAAAUAUGAUAUAAUCAGGUGUUGCAUGGCUGUCGUCAGUCCGUGUCGUGAGAUGUCUGGUUAAAUCCGAUAACGGACGUGACCCUUAAGUAAACUAUUAUGUGUUUACUAAUAGACAAUGUAAGAUUGUAGGAAGGUGAGGACAACGAUAAGUCGUUAUGCCCUAAUGAAUUGGGCUACACAUGUGCUACAAUGGUAAUUACAAAAAGAUGCGAAAAU